AUUGAACGCUGGCGGCAUGCCUUACACAUGCAAGUCGAACGGCAGCACGGGAGCAAUCCUGGUGGCGAGUGGCGAACGGGUGAGUAAUACAUCGGAACGUGCCCAGUAGUGGGGGAUAGCCCGGCGAAAGCCGGAUUAAUACCGCAUGAGACCUGUGGGUGAAAGCGGGGGAUCGCAAGACCUCGCGCUAUUGGAGCGGCCGAUGUCAGGUUAGCUAGUUGGGGGGGUAAAGGCCCACCAAGGCAACGAUCUGUAGUUGGUCUGAGAGGACGGCCAGCCACACUGGGACUGAGACACGGCCCAGACUCCUACGGGAGGCAGCAGUGGGGAAUUUUGGACAAUGGGCGCAAGCCUGAUCCAGCAAUGCCGCGUGCAGGAAGAAGGCCUUCGGGUUGUAAACUGCUUUUGUCAGGGAAGAAAUCCUUUGGGAUAAUACCUCGGAGGGAUGACGGUACCUGAAGAAUAAGCACCGGCUAACUACGUGCCAGCCGCCGCCGUAA
rnacentral:rRNA from 1 species